CCUAAAUAGUGAUCAUGUAUAUAUAUUGUAGUACUAUAAACUUGAUAUAUGUACAAUAAAGUAUUCUAAACCAGAAUGCGGUGCACCACACACGUCGAUUGGACAACUAGUAGCUUAAGAAAAGUUUUCCCGUAAUACCAUAACGCAAUGGCACGUUUUUGACCAAAUUUUUUUAAAAAAACAUCGAAAUCUCUAAACAAGAAGGGCACCUUUGAUGUUAAUUUAGUAUUUACAGAGACAUUAGCUUGUACAAAAAGGGCACUUUUCAUCACAAAAAGGGAUACUUUUCGUCCUUUGAAACAAUUUGGGAGGGAGGGCACGCGCUCCCUCUUCCCCCUCUUCCUACGCCCCUGAUUCUAAGACCACUUGAUCCCGAGAUUGAAG